rnacentral:rRNA from 1 species
GUUACCGCAGAGAAGCACCGGCUAACUCCGUGCCAGCAGCCGCGGUAAUACGGAGGGUGCCAGGCGUUAAUCGGAAUUACUGGGCGUAAAGCGCACGCAGGCGGUCCAUUAAGUUAGAUGUGAAAUCCCCGGGCUUAACCCGGGAACGGCAUCUAAGACUGGUGGGCUAGAGUCUCGUAGAGGGGGGUAGAAUUCCACGUGUAGCGGUGAAAUGCGUAGAGAUGUGGAGGAAUACCGGUGGCGAAGGCGGCCCCCUGGACGAAGACUGACGCUCAGGUGCGAAAGCGUGGGGAGCAAACAGGAUUAGAUACCCUGGUAGUCCACGCCGUAAACGAUGUCGAUUUGGAGGUUGUGCCCUUGAGGUGUGGCUUCCGGAGCUAACGCGUUAAAUCGACCGCCUGGGGAGUACGGUCGCAAGAUUAAAACUCAAAUGAAUUGACGGGGGCCCGCACAAGCGGUGGAGCAUGUGGUUUAAUUCGAUGCAACGCGAAGAACCUUACCUACUCUUGACAUCCACGGAAUUCUGCAGAGAUGCGGAAGUGCCUUCGGGAACCGUGAGACAGGUGCUGCAUGGCUGUCGUCAGCUCGUGUUGUGAAAUGUUGGGUUAAGUCCCGCAACGAGCGCAACCCUUAUCCUUUGUUGCCAGCACGUUAUGGUGGGAACUCAAGGGAGACUGCCGGUGAUAAACCGGAGGAAGGUGGGGAUGACGUCAAGUCAUCAUGGCCCUGACGAGUAGGGCUACACACGUGCUACAAUGGCGGAUACAAAGAGAAGCGACCUCGCGAGAGCAAGCGGAACUCAUAAAGUCUGUCGUAGUCCGGAUUGGAGUCUGCAACUCGACUCCAUGAAGUCGGAAUCGCUAGUAAUCGUAGAUCAGCAUGCUACGGUGAAUACGUUCCCGGGCCUUGUACACACCGCCCGUCACACCAUGGGAGUGGGUGGCAAAAGAAGUCGGUAGCUUAACCUUCGGGAGGGCGCUGACCACUUUG